rnacentral:lncRNA from 1 species
AGAGGAGUGUGCGGAAAGAUGGAGUUGAGACAGAAACUUGUUAGCAUAACACCGAAGGAGUUUUGCUGUGAGUAGCAUCAGCAUAGCAGGAGAACAUCCCUAGCUCUCCGGCCGCUGCUCUGCCACAAGGAGAGAAAGGGAAAAGCAAAUUCAGCAGGACCUCUAGGACUUUGCUGUAGAUCACCAGGUGGAGCCAGGAUCCUCCAGGAGAACUGAUGGCUAGAAAAGACUGCAAGUAAUGUGGAGGAAGGAAGAAGAGAGAGAGCAGAGAGAGAUGAUUCUUGCAAACAUUGAUCUGUGUAGAGCGGAUGUCAACUUGAUGGGAUAAGACCUGGGUCGACUUGGUAUCUGGGUUCAGGUCAGCAAACUCUAAGGGCAUUUCCUUCUACUAGCAGACAGAUCUGCUCAUCCUGCGACAUUGUGGACAGUGCUGAAUGGCUUCCAGAACAUUCCUCUCAUGUCUACUGGUUAAACUUUGAAGCAUCUGAGCCAUUUGGGAGAGCAGGGACCCCCAUGAACAGGAGAUACUGGAGGUGUCUGAGGCCACGUCAUGCCCUUUCUCAAGAGUGGCCUGCAGGUCUUUCAGCCACUGGCCACUGACGUCCUGCUCCUGCCAGACAUGGAUUUGGGCACUGGGCUCCAGUGUUGAGAAAGUUCUUGACUUCCAGCACUUGUUUUCCUAGUGGACAAUAGGAGUCAGAGACAGAGAGGGAGAGUGAAGAUGCAGAAGACAUAUCCUUUCCAUUGUGACCCAGAUAAGAAUGUAGCCGGUGAGCUUGCUUCCUGUCACUCAUUUCCCAGCUAUUUGUUGUAGUCCAAGUUGUGCAUAUUCUUUCUGUUAGGUUCUUAUGUUUGUCUUAAGCUCACCCAUCUUUUCUUCUUCCCUCAUUUUUUCUUUAUAAAUCAAGAAAAAUUCUGCCACUUUCUUUCCCUGGCUCACUGCACAGCCAAUCAAUAAUUUUGAAUCCUUUGUGUAUCAAUUUCUGCUGGCUAUUCAUUAUUUGUGGAAACCAUAUUAACGGGUCCAUAAAAAUCACAGCAAUCCAUUUGUUAAAUUCAUCAUAAGAACAGGUUACAUCUUUCUGGCCAAGUUUCAUGGUUUGGUAAUAUCAUAUUUUGGUUUUAGAAUUUAUAAGGUGCAUUCUCCCAUACUUUUCAAAUAUAUUUUUUAUUCAUUGCCCUCUCUGAAUUAGGCAUUUUUGGGGAUGCACGUUUUACAGAUAUGGAGACAAUGGUUCAGAGAAAUCAGCUUGUUCACAGUGGGGCCAGAGCUGGGACCUAGGGCUUCUGACUCUAUGUCUCAGGUCAUUCCUAUCACACACACACUGAAGGAGAAAAGAGUUCCCUUGUCUGGAGAAGACAUAUCAAAUUCAUGUGGGUUAAACACAGAAAUUCCAAAUAGCUGUAGUUUUUGUAAAAAUGGUUGAGCUAUGGACUUUUAAAGCAGUUGGCCACCUGUGGUGGUGGGUGGAAGGGAGUUAGGGCAGGAUUGUUGUGCUUCAGGGAGGAUUCAGUGUCUGCACGACCAUGGAGGGGGGUGCAGGGCACCAGGUAUCCAGGACUGUUGGCAAGAGUUAUGCUUUGAAUUUCCCAGAGAAGACACACUGCUGUGAAAGGAAGAAAUCGUUGGUUUUUCUCCAACUGCUUAGCUGUUAAGAAGCAAGAAGCCUAUCUCCAAGGCAGCAGCAGGCCUCAGAGAAAACAGUAGGACCCUUCCUUCAAACAGGAGAAAACUCCCGCAACUCAAAGCAAGUGCCCCCUGGUCAUUCUCUCAAAAAGCUACAGGCUCCAAACAAAAGACAGACUUCACAGGCUAGAGAUGGGCUCUGCACUCAGGAUUAGUGCUCGGGUGCACAGAGCUGGCUGGGCAGGGCCAGAGGGGACCACAUUCUGCCACAUGCAGAGCAAAGCAGUAUCUUUCUAUUACUGGUCAAUGUAAUAUGAGCUGGGAAUGAGCAAUUUCACACCUUUUUCUGAGAUAUUAAAAAGAAAUACGCUGAUGUGGCUGGAGGUAAUUUCCCAAAGCCUGUGGAUGAAGUUGAUGUCAGUAACUGGCUAUGAGGUUGUUAUUUACAGGACUGUUUGAUCCCACUGAAGUAGUGGUGCUUAAUAAACAGCUCAGUGUGGCUCAGGAGCGAGGCCCAAUACUGCAUAUAAACCACCAUCCUGCAAUUUAUCCAGAGAGCAUGUGGGAAGUGAACCUUGAAUCAUUUGCUUGAUGGAUUUUUUCUUUCCUUGGAAACAGGAAAACGAAUCUCAGUUUUCUCCCUAAGCCUUAGGCAACAGGGCUCCUUGCAAGUCACCUUCCCUUCCUUGUCCCCAAAACAAAGAUGCAUACAUGUUCCCCAAGCACUGCAAACACAGCCUUUCUUUCAGGGGCAGCUGGGUCCCUGGAUCCGCUUUCUCUCCCCUGGGCUGGUCCCAGUGUAAAUCAUCAGAUCUCCAGGUCCACUCGUCUGCACACAGGCUGCUUUGUAAGUGGGAGAAAGAAUCCACAGAACUUUACACUAAAUCCCCAUGGGAACCAGGUGAAUAGGUGUGUGUGUUUGCACACAAGCCCGUAUACGUGGCAAACCAAUCCAAGAGAUGGUGACCGAUGGGUCCAUAAAGACUCUGGCUGGCAAUGCUGUCAGCUUCCUUCAGCUGAGCGUCAGUUAGUUACCCUGGUAGUCUCAAAUGUCUCCUUGUGCCUAGAGACAACAUAGGGCCUGGCCCUGAGGACUCCCAGGCUGGGUCGCCCGGCAGCUGCACCUGUUGUAGGCCGGGUAGGCCCCCUAAAAUGCUUUGGGCAGCCCAAGAGUGUCUUCCUGAGUCAUUUGGAGCUGCCCCACCAGCAGCCCAGUGAGAGAUUCACAGCCCUAGUGGAGAGUGGAAGCCUUGGGCUAUCCCAAGCAAUCCUUGCGUCUGUGGGGCUGGUGCCGCCCCUUUGCAUCUCUUCUUGCAGCUAAGCAGAGCUCAGAGGCCAGGAAAAAAGCCACUGUGUGUCUUUGGAAACAGCUGACCUGAUUUUCAACAUUCCCUUUGAGCAUUUGCUAAAGGGGCACCACAGAAGGGCAUUAAGGAUGCCACCGUGGAAGGAAGCUGCAGAUGACAGAAGCAUGAGCACUGCUGGAAAAUGAGAAAGCUGAGUUGGGACUGCGUGCCAUGGAGAACCUGUACUGUCACCCUCCCCAGCCAUCUGACUACCAGCAGCUUCAGCAGCAUCAUCAUUUGCAUUCAUUCAUCUCUUUUCCUCACUCCCUCCCUUGAUGAAUCUCUUUGGGAAUGAUCUUCAAAAACUUUGCUUAGGUUUUCAAGGUGCUUUUGAUUCACUGUAUUUUUCUUUAAGCCUUUUAAUUGAGCACAACGUUCAUAGAGAGAAGCACACACAUCCUGAGGGGUCAGCCCAAAGAAUUUUCAGAAAGUGAACACGUGAGGGUGGCAAGCACCUGGACUAGGAACCAGAACACCGCCAGCGCCCCAGACGUGCCCUUUUAGUCCACUUCUAGUCACUGUGCUCCCAUGAGGGUGCUCACCCUACCCUCUAGUACUGACAUUGAUGUUGCUUAUUUGUGAACUUCACUUGAAUGAACUCAUGCAACAGUGUUGUCUGUGAGGCUCAUGCACGUUUCUGAACGUGGGAUCGCUGAAGUGUGGGGUUGUAUUCAAAUCUGUAGUUUGCACUCAAAGAACAGCAAGUGGAAGAAAAUUACUUUGGAAAGGAAUUUUCAAAUCGAGUGUGAAUGAGAGGGUCUUCGGGACUUUGGCCUUUGGAGUUGAGCUGACCUAAAGGUAGAAGGUGAACUAGGGUCCUCUUAGCUCCCCACUCCACUCUGAACUGUGCUCCCAGGGCAAUCCAGCUUCUGCUCUCUUUUACUACUACUUCACGUAAUGAUGAAAAUUAUGUCAGGUUAAAUAUCAGUAAUUGCUUAAGUGAGUUUGUAUACCAAGCUGUGUAGUAACGCCUCACUGAAACACUGCUCACCUGAGACUGAGAUUCAGUGUGUUGACGAAAAAAGUUAAACUCUAACAUAUUUGAAGAGAUUUAUUCUGAGCCAAAUAUGAGAGACCAUGGCCUGUGACACAGCCCUCAGGAGUCCUGAGGACAUGUGCCCAAGGUGGUUGAGGUACAGCUUGGUUUUAUGUAUUUUAGGAAGGGAUGAGACAUCAAUCAAAUACAUUUAAGAAACACAUUGGUUUGGUUCAGAAAAGGCGGAACAACUCAAAGUGGGGGGGCUUCCAGGCUAUAGGUAAAUUUAAACAUUUUCUGGUUGAUAAUUGGUAGAGUUUAUUUGAAGGUCUGGAAUUAAUGGCAAGGAAUGUUCAGGUUAAGAUAAAGGACUGUGGAGACCAAGUUUUAUUGUUCAGAGGAAUCUCUCAGAUAGCAGACUUCAGAGAGAGAGCAGGUUGUAAAAUGUUUCUUAGAAGACCUAAAAGCGUGCCUGGCUCUUAGUUGGUUAUCUCCUGGGUCUGGAAAGAAAGGAAGGAAAACAAAGUGGGAAGGAGAUUCUCUGUAGAUUGUGGAUUUUUCCCACAAGAGACUUUGCAGGACAAUUUCAAGGCAUGGCAAGGAAAUGUAUUUGGGGGUAAAACAUUUCGAUUUUCUUCCUUGUUAUGCCAGAGUCAGAUUGGAAAGUAAGUCACUAUCUACAGGGUCAAAUAAAACCCAUCUGAUGAGAAUUUAUGGUUUGUAGGGUAUGACUCCCUAGACCCCUUAGAUAGGAAUUUGGGCAAGAUAAAAAAAAUCAGAUCUUAGUCCUCAAGUGUAAAGCAGAUCAAUUGAGAAUCCAAAUCUGCAGGGUAUAAGGUCAGACGCAGUCAACCGAUGCAUGAACCAAGAAGCAUUUAUAGAAGCCUCUGGCGCUUUUCCUUCGCUCACCUCUGUCCACAGGCUCUGAACUAAUUCCUUCAUUUUUUUUUAAAUUUGCAAAUAAGAUUACUGUAGUAUAGAUUUGAAGAUGCACCCAAUUAUUUUAUAAGCUUUUUUUUAUGUAACACUAAGAAAUUUUAAAAAUGCUGAAGGUGCAGUCUAGUAGGAGACCCUGCAGCUGAAAUGCUGAAGUCAUUCUUUGUGUGCAGGAAACAAGAAAAAAGCCUGCCACGCAGAAAGUCACUGAGAAACCUGCUGGCCUCCAUGGUGGCACGUGGGGGAGGGAGGAGUAGAAAUCUCCUGAAAGAAUGUGGACCACAGAGCAUGCUCUGGUGGGUAUGUGGGCUGACAAAGAACAGGGAGCGCUAACAGUGAAAAUGAAGAGCCUGCCCCGCCUCCCAGCGUGGACUUUGACCUGGGGCCAGACCAAGGCCACUUUACGGAAACCUCCCUGGAGCGUGUCUCAGGUGGCCCACCCUGCACCCUGGGCUACCUCUGGGGCCCUUCUUGCCCACAGUCCUACUUUUCACCCCCCUUGACCCCAAGAGGUGUUCAUUUAUAACGCCCCUGCAUCUUCUCAACUUCAAAGUCAGCUCGGACCUCGUUCACCCAGACAAGACCUUGGCUGAGUCUUGACAAACUGGCACAGGGUCCCCCGACAGAAGACAGCUUCCCUUUCUCUUUGCUUUCCUUUAUCCUAGCUGAGUCCGGCCUCCCCAGCACUCUUUUCCAUCUGGGGACAGUUCGUGCUGGUGGGAAUUGGCAGGGGCACACUGUCCAGACAGAGACAACUGAAACACAGGUGUCCCGCUGGUGUGCCAGCAGGGCGGCCGUCCUACCAGGAGCAGGACACGUUGUUGGCCACUGCCCAUGCAAUAAUCAGCGUGGGACAAACAGUCGCAUGGGGAGUGAGGUGAUGUGAAGAAAAGGAAGCCGAAGAAGAGAAGAAGCUGAAGGGCCAGUAAACACACACAUAGACGCUCACCGUCCCCUUCACUGGAAAAAUGAACGGCUGCUGUUGCCGAGGGCUGGUGAGGAUGAGGCCCCAGGCCUGCAGGAGGGCACAUCCGGUCGGCCGCCUCGACGGGCCAUCUGGGUAGCUGCUGCCCUUUGCAUGUAAAUAAAGCUCCUCAAAGCCCCAUUUCACAAUUGCUGGGAGAAACAGCAUCCUUCCCUCAUUCCCCAUAUUUCCAGGGAGGAGGUGGCUGGUUUUUUUUGUUGUUGUGUUUUUUUUGUUUGUUUUGUUUUGUUUUGUUUUGUUUUUUCCAGAUUUCUCCCAGCCACAUCCAGCUUCUUGUUCUGUAGUUUUUUUCCCAAAUUACUGACUGCCUUCUUUCAAGGGGAAAUGGAAUUCAGAAAGAUGGGAAGAUACAUGAUAAGAGCACUUAAGAGAGAAGCCUGUCCAUUUCCACCAAGGUUGAAGUGUGCAUACUCCAGGAUCCAGUCCUUCAUGUCUACACAAGGAGUCCCAGGAAAAGGUCUGUGCAAAACGUUUGUAAUUACAACAGAGCAGCCACGACCUAGCCCUCCUUCAGCAGAGGAAUGAAUAAACUGGUUUAUUCAGUCAACACAGCAGUUAAAAUGAGAGAAUUAGUGAUGUUGCAAGGAAAAAUGAAGAGCAAACAGAUACAGUAGGAAGUUAUCACGUACAUUUCAAAAACACUCAAAACAACCGUAGAUAUUUAUGGAUUCAUGUAAUAAUGCAGUAAAAAUACAAAAUCAGAGCCAGGACUGUGGCACACUGAAUUCAGCACAAUGGUCAUCUCUAAAUGUGGGUUCAUGUGGGAGGAGGUGACCCCAGGGUGGGGGCUUCUGCUGUAUUUGUCAUGUUUGGGUUAUUUGAAAGGGAGAGAGAGCACUGUAAUUAUACAGUAAAAUGCAAACAUAUUUUUUAUCUUAGUGGUGAGUAUACAGGUGUCUGUUGUGCUGUUUUCUCUGUGUUUGAAUGGUUUCAUAAUUUUUAGAAAAGUAAACAAUGAGGUCGGAUAUGGUGGCUCACCCCUGUAAUUCCAGCACUUUUGGGGGUCAAAGCAGAAGGAUUGCUUGAAGACCAGCCUGGGCAACAUAGCAAGAUUCUAUCUUUACAAUUUCUAAAACAUUUUUUAAUUUAAAAAUGAUAAACAACGAAAAACUGCAAAGAAAUAGAUUGAAAAGUUCACAGUUGCUUUUGCCACAUUUUGUGAAUAUGUUAUUUUUAUAAUGAAAAA